GGACACUGUAGGCACCAUCACCACUUAUCAAAUUGGAUCUCUACUAUAUGAUUCAUUCACUGUUUAAUAUAGAUGUGUGGUCCCAGGUAGUCUACAGCCUGACCUCCAGUGAUAAAAGGGCAGAGGCCAAGCUUUGCUCCACUUCACACCAUGCCUGGAGUAGUGGGUAGUGAUUGGCAUGACGUGGAAAGCAUAGUUCUGACCCAACCAUAAUGUUACUGAAGGCUGUGCUGUAGGCUGCUGGGGAAUCUCUACUAAACGAUGAGUUAAACGACUUGGUAAUGAUACAGAAUUCGGCACAUACAGACUCUAGACACCAUAAUCCAUUCACGUGGUUAUAGUGCCUACAUCGUUCAUUUAAACAUAAACAAAACAUAUAUAUAUUUAUAAAAUUUUGAGAUGUAACAACAUGCUGCCGGAAACACAUAACACACUCAAAAUUAUUACUGCAGAGCCUGCAAGUGAUGCAGUUGUGAACCGUUUAUCAAGUGUCAGUGUGUCCAGGAUUAC